GGUAGGAUGGACGAGUGGUUUAAGUUGGCAGAUUUAAGUUUCUUAGAAGAAUUUCCUGCUACCGUUAUGGUGCGCGGGUUCAAACCCUACUCCUAUCA
rfam:Sphaerobolus stellatus SS14 unplaced genomic scaffold SPHSTscaffold_122, whole genome shotgun sequence.